UUUUAUGAUGGUUGACUUUGCGAGAACUAACGGAGCAUUAGUGUCAAGAAUGGGCUGAGAUUCGAAUUCAGUCGGUUUUUCGCUCUUUUUUGACAAAAAGGGAUCAAGAUCGGGACCGUCCAUUUGACUUCACACGGAUCACCAUCUGCUUUCUCUCUCAAUGCUCACACAUCUGACAAAAAGGGAUGCCAAAAGCAGGGAAGUACAAUCUACAGGAAAAAGCAACACUUUACUUUUGUGUGAAAGACAGCUUGCUUGCUGCAGUCUCUAUAAUAUAUCAACACUCUUCCAUACACUGUUUGAAAGACAGCACUGCUUCCUUCAGUCUCUAUAAAUAAUCCAGAGAUAUCUACACUCUACUCACACUUUACAAACUCUCAACUACACUCAACUGAAAUUAAUAUAUCAACUCUUUGCAUUCGGAUCUUGCGUUGUUUCUCGGCUCUCACAUCAAGGUUUUAAAAUUUUUGUCGGCUUUUCACAUCUCCCUCUUGCAUUGUUGUAAGUUCUUUCAAAUAUGACAUAGUGAAAGGAUAAAUUGUUUUUGUAGUUUUGAUUUUACUUUGUUCUGUUAUAUUUUGAUCUUUUCCUUCA